rfam:Gilliamella apicola SCGC AB-598-P17 SCG598P17_12808, whole genome shotgun sequence.
AGCGCAACCUUGCCAAGGUUGAGGUCGCGAGUUCGAACCUCGUUUCCCGCU